ensembl:snoRNA U8 U8 small nucleolar RNA
UCGUCAGUAAGGUACAUCCUUACCUGUUGCCUCAGCAAUGAGGUUGCAGAAAAUGAUGAAUGGAGAUUAAUGAGAUAUGAUUAAUAUCUCCGGCUCUUAGAGAACAGCAACACUCUAGGAGACCCAUUCUGAC